GACGUAGGGCGCGAGCGUUGUCCGGAUUUAUUGGGCGUAAAGAGCUCGUAGGCGGCUUGUCGCGUCUGCUGUGAAAACCCGAGGCUCAACCUCGGGCCUGCAGUGGGUACGGGCAAACUAGAGUGCGGUAGGGGAGAAUGGAAUUCCCGGUGUAGCGGUGGAAUGCGCAGAUAUCAGGAGGAACACCGAUGGCGAAGGCAGUUCUCUGGGCCGUAACUGACGCUGAGGAGCGAAAGCGUGGGGAGCGAACAGG
rnacentral:rRNA from 1 species